UACGAAGGGGGCUAGCGUUGUUCGGAUUUACUGGGCGUAAAGGGCGCGUAGGCGGCAAUUCAAGUCACUUGUGAAAUCUCCGAGCUUAACUCGGAACGGUCAAGUGAUACUGUCGGACUAGAGUACAGAAGGGGCAACUGGAAUUCUCGGGUGUAGCGGUGAAAUGCGUAGAUAUCGAGAGGAACACCUGCGGCGAAGGCGGGUUGCUGGGCUGAUACUGACGCUGAGGCGCGAAAGCCAGGGGAGCGAACGGG
rnacentral:rRNA from 1 species